rnacentral:rRNA from 1 species
UACGUAGGGUGCGAGCGUUAAUCGGAAUUACUGGGCGUAAAGCGUGCGCAGGCGGUGAUGUAAGACAGAUGUGAAAUCCCCGGGCUCAACCUGGGAACUGCAUUUGUGACUGCAUCGCUGGAGUGCGGCAGAGGGGGAUGGAAUUCCGCGUGUAGCAGUGAAAUGCGUAGAUAUCAGGAGGAACACCGGUGGCGAAGGCGGAUCUCUGGGCCUUACCUGACGCUCAGGCGCGAAAGCGUGGGGAGCAAACAGG